AGCAGUGGCGAUGACUCGUGGACUGCAGUAGUUCCCCAUGGAUUACUGGAGUUCAGCAACUUUAGGUGUGGUUGGUAACUGGAUGGGUGACCAUCUGGGGAAUCGCGUGCUGCUGACU
rnacentral:rRNA from 1 species